GAUUUCUGGCUUGGUGCGCGCCGUCCGCUGCGGUUACGUAGUGUGUGCGGUUGUGCGCCUGCCAUCUUUCUAGACAUCAUGCUGCGCCCUUCACUGGGUGGCAGGUGGUGGCUGGAUCUUUUACUUUGAAAAAAUUAGAGUGUUUAAAGCAGGCUUACGCCGUGAAUACAUUAGCAUGGAAUAAUAAUAUAGGACUUUGGUUCUAUUUUGUUGGUUUCUAGGACUAAAGUAAUGAUUGAUAGGGAUAGUUGGGGGUGCUAGUAUUCAGAGGCCAGAGGUGAAAUUCUUGGAUUCUCUGAAGACUAACUACUGCGAAAGCAUU
rnacentral:rRNA from 1 species